GUUUUUAUAGUUGAUGUUACAACGGUGGUUUUUCAGACCUCAGGUCUCGAUAAUUCGAGUAAAAAUU
rnacentral:tRNA from 1 species